rnacentral:rRNA from 1 species
GAUGAACGCUGGCGGCAAGCCUAAUACAUGCAAGUCGAGGGGCAGCGAGACACUUCGGUGUUGUCGGCGACCGGCGAACGGGUGCGUAACGCGUAUGUAAUCUACCUUGUACUGGGGCAUAGCUUCUAGAAAUAGAAAUUAAUACCCCAUAUUAUCUUUUUUCCGCAUGGAGAAAAGAUGAAAGCUCCGGCGGUACAAGAUGAACAUGCGUCCUAUUAGCUAGUUGGUGAGGUAAUAGCUCACCAAGGCAAUGAUAGGUAGGGGGCCUUUGAGGAUGUCCCCCCACACUGGUACUGAGACACGGACCAG